AGUGAACGCUGGCGGUAGGCCUAACACAUGCAAGUCGAACGGCAGCACAGAGGAGCUUGCUCCUUGGGUGGCGAGUGGCGGACGGGUGAGGAAUACAUCGGAAUCUACUCUGUCGUGGGGGAUAACGUAGGGAAACUUACGCUAAUACCGCAUACGACCUACGGGUGAAAGCAGGGGAUCUUCGGACCUUGCGCGAUCGAAUGAGCCGGUGUUGGAUUAGCUAGUUGGCGGGGUAAAGGCCCACCAAGGCGACGAUCCGUAGCUGGUCUGAGGGGAUGAUCAGCCACACUGGAACUGAGACACGGUCCAGACUCCUACGGGAGGCAGCAGUGGGGAAUAUUGGACAAUGGGCGCAAGCCUGAUCCAGCCAUACCGCGUGGGUGAAGAAGGCCUUCGGGUUGUAAAGCCCUUUUGUUGGGAAAGAAAUCCAUCUGGUUAAUACCCGGGUGGGAUGACGGUACCCAAAGAAUAAGCACCGGCUAACUUCGUGCCAGCCGCCGCGGUAA
rnacentral:rRNA from 1 species